UAAGGAAUAUUGGUCAAUGGACGCAAGUCUGAACCAGCCAUGCCGCGUGAAGGAUGAAGGUCCUCUGGAUUGUAAACUUCUUUUAUCUGGGACGAAAACGGGAUUUUUAUCUCAAUUGACGGUACCAGAGGAAUAAGCACCGGCUAACUCCGUGCCAGCAGCCGCGGUAAUACGGAGGGUGCGAGCGUUAUCCGGAUUUACUGGGUUUAAAGGGUGCGUAGGUGGGCUUAUAAGUCAGUGGUGAAAUCUCCGAGCUUAACUUGGAAACUGCCGUUGAUACUAUAGGUCUUGAAUUAUCUGGAGGUAAGCGGAAUAUGUCAUGUAGCGGUGAAAUGCUUAGAUAUGACAUAGAACACCAAUUGCGAUGGCAGCUUACUACAUAUAAAUUGACGCUGAGGCACGAAAGCGUGGGGAUCAAACA
rnacentral:rRNA from 1 species